rnacentral:miRNA from 1 species
GUUUCUUUUUUUUCUUUUUC